rnacentral:rRNA from 1 species
CAGUAGCCGCGGUAAUACGUAGGGUGCGAGCGUUAAUCGGAAUUACUGGGCGUAAAGCGUGCGCAGGCGGUUUUGUAAGACAGGCGUGAAAUCCCCGGGCUCAACCUGGGAACGGCGCUUGUGACUGCAAAGCUAGAGUGCGGCAGAGGGGGAUGGAAUUCCGCGUGUAGCAGUGAAAUGCGUAGAUAUGCGGAGGAACACCGAUGGCGAAGGCAAUCCCCUGGGCCUGCACUGACGCUCAUGCACGAAAGCGUGGGGAGCAAACAGGAUUAGAUACCCCUGUAGUCCCUGUCUCUUAUAC